rnacentral:rRNA from 1 species
AAUGAACGCUGGCGGCAGGCCUAAAACAUGCAAGUCGAACGCUCUAGCAAUAGAGAGUGGCGCACGGGUGCGUAACACGUGGGAAUAUGCCUUUUGGUACGGAACAACGUUUGGAAACGAACGCUAAUACCGUAUGGUCCCUUCGGGGUAAAGAUUUAUCGCCAAAAGAUUAGCCCGCGCUGGAUUAGCUAGUUGGUGAGGUAAUGGCUCACCAAGGCGACGAUCCAUAGCUGGUCUGAGAGGACGAUCAGCCACACUGGGACUGAGACACGGCCCAGACUCCUACGGGAGGCAGCAGUUAGGAAUAUUGGACAAUGGGCGCAAGCCUGAUCCAGCCAUGCCGCGUGAGUGAUGAAGGCCUUCGGGUUGUAAAGCUCUUUAGCCGAUGAUUAUAAUGACUGUAGUCGGAGAAUAAGCCCCGGCUAACUUCGUGCCAGCAGCCGCAGUAA